rnacentral:tRNA from 1 species
GGGCCGGUAGCUCAGUUGGUUAGAGCAGGGCACUCAUAAUGCCUUGGUCGGGGGUUCAAGUCCCUCUCGGCCCACCA